UGCUUAUCUGCUCUGCACACCUAAUACCAGCAAAAUGAAGAUAUGAAGUGCUUUCAGCUGAUGAAACCCAGUUAGUCAUUUGCAAACACCUCCCUUAGCACUCUCCUGUUCCACACAUCUUCAACAGCACACACCCAUGUCCUUAGCUUUCCUGGGCCCAGAUCAGGAACUGGAGCUGACAGAGGAAACCGGACCAUGCUACAUCUGGGAUGCAGCUACCGACAGAUCUAAGGCACCAUUCUGGCAUCAGGGAUUAAUAAAUGUUAUAGUACCUUAAUCA